rnacentral:rRNA from 1 species
AUUGAACGCUGGCGGCAUGCCUUACACAUGCAAGUCGAACGGCAGCACGGGUGCUUGCACCUGGUGGCGAGUGGCGAACGGGUGAGUAAUACAUCGGAACAUGUCCUGUAGUGGGGGAUAGCCCGGCGAAAGCCGGAUUAAUACCGCAUACGAUCUACGGAUGAAAGCGGGGGACCUUCGGGCCUCGCGCUAUAGGGUUGGCCGAUGGCUGAUUAGCUAGUUGGUGGGGUAAAGGCCUACCAAGGCGACGAUCAGUAGCUGGUCUGAGAGGACGACCAGCAACACGGGGACUGAGCCACGCCCCAGCCUCCCCGGGGGGGCACCGGGGGGGAAUUUUGGAAAAGGGCGGAAAGCCUGACCCAGAAAUGCGGGUGGGGUAAGGAAGGCCUUCGGUUGGAAAAGCCCUUUUGUCCGAAAAAAAACCGUGGCCCCUAAUACGGGGGGGGGAGGACGGUACCGGAAAAAUAAGCCCCGGCUAACUACGUG